AACCAUGAGAUCAUGACCUGAGCUGAAGUUGGAUGCUUAACUGACUGAGCCACCCAGGAACCUCCAACCCUCUUAGUAUUAAAUACAAACUCAGGCCCUCCUUAUAUUUAGCAUGAAUUACAGUACCAGUUUCCUGUCUGGUCAUCCUAUUAAUGUCUCCCAACUCAUCCUUCACUAUACUACAGAUCUAGUUAUAUCAUCUCUUAAUUUAAAAUUCUCCAUUGGUUUCUUAGGGAUAAAGUCCAAAUCCUUCCCAUGAUACACAAGGCUUCUCAAGAUGUGGCUCCUUCCCACCUCCUUUCCAACCUUUAAUGCCUGCCAGCGGCCCAGAACAUGCAAUCCUCUCUCAUUUCCAACCUUUGCACCUUUCCUCUGCCCGGAAUGCCCUUUUCCUCUAUUCACCUAGCAAAUGUCUGCUUGUUCUUUACUAUUCAUGACACUUGUCAUCUCUUCUCAAAGGCCUUCUAUGGUCUCCAGCAGAGUAAAGUCCUCCUUACCCUUCAUGCUCUUCGAGGUCCCUGUCCACAUUUCAGCAAUGGACUAGGGGAGUCAUGUCUCACCAGUUUCAAGACCCAGAAGGCAUGCUAUCAACCUCCUUUCCCUCUAUAUAUCCUCAACACCAUUUGUGGUACCUAGGAUUUGGAAAGCACUCAUAUGUUUGCUGAAAAAAUGGCUUUUGAUGAGUUUUUAUGAUUCUAAUAGCCUAAAACAGCAAGCAGUAAGCUAUUUCUAUGGCAGAAAUUAAGUCAGAAAAAAAAGGAAGAAAUACUGAUUUUUCUUUAGAAAAGUAGAGUCAGAAAGUUUAGCAUAUGAAGCAAACAAUUACUAAAAAUUAAGAGCUAAAUAAAACAAAGAAAAUAAAUUACAUUGUCUUUACCCACUCAAUGGAGAAGUUAUUCUUAAGUAUUAGUUAUAGCAAACCACAAAGGGAAAGUAAGAAAAGGAAACAGUAGUCACCUUAUUUUAUGACAUUCUACCUCAGAUUUGCUGUACACACAUCAAUACAGAUGUAACUGCAGAUAUGAAAAAACUGGAUUCAGAUGUGCUGAUAUAAAACCAUGCACAAACUGCCUUAAGUGGAAAAAAACAGGGAAAGGAGAACCCAUGAGAAUUGACUGAUGGCACUUGUGUGAGCCAGGAAAGAAGGCUGGAAAGCACCUCUUCAGAGUUCCUCCGUGCCUCAUCCUUUGAAGGGCAGAGUCCUACUCGGCCAGGAGAGCAGAGGAGGAGAGGAGGAAAGGAGCGAUUUCCCUCUGGUCCUCAUGGAUGGAAUCAGACCCCACAGUUUUCAAAGUCACCAGCCAGGGGCCUGAAGACAAGAUCAAACCAGGAACAACAAAGGUGGGAGCUGCCUCUCCUCUAACUGCCCCCAGGGCCUACAAGGAGGGACACAAACAUCAUGAGUCAUCAAGAACCUGGGCUGGCAAAGCAGUUCACCUGAGCCAAGAAUCGGUACACAGAGACACUCCUCAAGAAUAAAUAAGUACUUUGUGGGCCAUCUGGCAAGAAAAGUUUUUGAAAAAGUCCAUCUACCAGCCAUUGGAGGUUGGACAGGAAGUGUGCAAGUUCUUGGAGAGAAGGAAAAUGGCAUGAUACAGUACAAGAGCACCCAGUAUAAGGCUAUGCCUGUAUGUUUCCUUGGUUUCUCAACCUCAGUGCUAAUAACGUUGUGAGCCACAGAAUUCUUUGUUGUGAAGAGCUGUUCAGUGUACUAUAGGAUGUUUAACAUCCUCCCCGGCCUCUACCCAUUAUCUGUUAGUAGUGCUAUCUCUUGUAACAACCUAAAAUGUCUCCAGCCAAUGCACAUGUCCACUUGUGCAGUUUCGGGUGAGGGGGAGCAGGGCAUUGCCCCUGGAUGAGAUGAUAGCUGAAGAAGAGCUUCACUAACGGAUAGAAUCAGACUUAACUGGUUAAGUGACUAUUCAUCUCCACAAGACCCACACACAGGUCAAUUGGGACAAUGUGCCAAGUGCCUAAAAACCUUCAGGCCUCUUCCAAUUUCAACACCUUAUGCUCUAUUUAAUAUGAUAUAUUAAAGCCUUAAAAAUGAGCAUAAAUCUAGUGUUGCCUGGGUGGCUCAGUGGGUUAACCGUCCACCUUUGGCUCAGGUCAUGAUCUCGCGGUUCGUGGGUUU